CCCCCAAACUUCUACAUUCAUCUCUAUAUAUUCCCCGCCAGAUCACUCUCUCUCUCAAAGGACCAACUUUUUCGCGAACUCUUCCCCCUCCUCCUCCACCCUCUUUGGAAACAAAAGAAAAUUUUUUCGAUUUUCUUUCUCUCUUUGAAGGUAUCGUUCAGAGAAUCGCGCCCAAUUUUAUCAAUCGCUCGGUUCGAAGAAUAACCGUGCUGCCGACGAAGGUCCGAGGCUUUUUCGAGUUCUGAUUGCGUUAUCCGCUAGCAAAUUAGGGUUAGGGUUCUUUUUUGGAUUUUGAUUAGAGGCCUUCGAAUUGGUGUGCGUUGUACUUUUUUCGAUUAUAGUCGUAUUUGAAUUAAGGGCUAGAUGAAUUUCGUUUUUUCUUUUGUUUAGGUAUUGUUAUUAUUAUAAUUAUUACUGCUGGUGCUUUGUAUUUUCCGCCCAAUACUGUAUAAUUGACGAUUAUUGCAUUGUUAUUUCUCGAUUCAGUAUUUUUUCCGAUUCGAAUUUUAUCUGGAAAAAAAGAAGAGAAGAAAAGUACACCUAAAAAUUAUUCUGGAUAAAAUUGUGCUUAAACAAUCCAAUUGAUUGAGAAAAGAAAAAGAAAGAAAAAAAGUAAAAAAAAGUUUUUUUGUGAAAAAUCAGUCCUAAUGGGAAGCAAUAACGGACAACGAUUGGGCAUAACGGAGCCCAUAUCCCUGGGAGGGCCAUCGGAGUUUGACGUCAUCAAGACCCGCGAGCUUGAAAAGUAUUUGCAAGAAGCAAAUUUGUAUGAGAGUCAAGAGGAGGCUGUUAGUAGAGAGGAAGUACUGGGGAGACUAGACCAGAUUGUGAAGACUUGGGCUAAGAAAAUUAGCCGUGUGAAAGGGUUGAAUGAGCAAUUGGUGCUAGAAGCAAAUGCAAAGAUAUUUACCUUCGGUUCUUAUCGGCUUGGGGUGCAUGGUCCUGGAGCGGAUAUAGACACACUUUGCGUUGGACCUAGGCAUGCAACAAGAGAGGAAGACUUUUUUGGUGAGCUGCAUCAGAUGCUUUUAGAGAUGCCUGAAGUAACAGAAUUGCACCCUGUGCCUGAUGCUCAUGUCCCAGUGAUGAAAUUCAAAUUUAAUGGUGUUUCUAUAGACCUUCUUUAUGCCAAACUCUCUCUUUGGGUCAUUCCUGAGGACUUGGAUAUUUCUCAAGACUCAAUACUGCAGAAUGCAGAUGAACAGACAGUUCGUAGUCUCAAUGGUUGCAGAGUUACUGACCAGAUUCUGCGUUUGGUUCCUAAUAUUCAGAAUUUCCGGACAACAUUGAGAUGCAUGAGAUAUUGGGCAAAGCGUCGUGGUGUUUAUUCCAAUGUUGCAGGAUUUCUUGGUGGUAUAAAUUGGGCAUUGCUUGUGGCUCGUAUUUGUCAGCUAUACCCUAAUGCACUGCCCAAUAUGCUGGUAUCUCGGUUCUUCAGGGUUUAUACCCAGUGGCGUUGGCCAAAUCCAGUAAUGCUCUGUGCUAUAGAGGAAGGAUCACUUGGUCUUCAAGUUUGGGAUCCUAGACGACAUCAUAAGGAUAGGUACCAUUUGAUGCCUAUAAUUACCCCUGCGUAUCCAUGUAUGAACUCCAGCUACAAUGUGUCGGUGAGUACUCUGCGAAUUAUGACUGAUGAAUUUCAGAGGGGGCAUGACAUUUGUGAGGCUAUGGAGCAAAGUAAAGUUGAUUGGGAUACCCUUUUUGAGCCUUACGCUUUUUUUGAAGCAUACAAACAUUAUCUACAGAUAGAUAUCUCUGCAGAAAAUGCUGAUGAUUUGAGAAAGUGGAAAGGCUGGGUUGAGUCUCGCCUCCGUCAACUCACAUUGAAGAUUGAGAGGUAUACUUACAAUAUGCUUCAGUGCCACCCGCACCCAGGAGACUUUUCUGAUAAGACAAAGCCUUUUCAUUGCUCUUAUUUCAUGGGUUUGCAAAGGAAACAAGGGAUUAAUGAAGGUGAACAAUUUGAUAUUAGGUUAACUGUGGACGAGUUUAAGCACUCUGUCAACAAGUACACAUUAUGGAAACCUGGAAUGGAGAUCCGUGUAACCCAUGUUAAACGUAGGGGUUUACCUAAUUUUGUAUUCCCUGGUGGUGUUCGACCUUCCCGUCCAUCAAAAGGGACUUGGGAGAGCAGGAGGGUCACAGAGCUUAAGGUUCCAAACCAUGCUAAAUUGGACGGAGCAGAUGAUGGAGAGAAGAGAAAGCGGGUGGAUGAUACUGUAGAUGGUGACUUGAGACCUACUAAGUACUUUGCUGGUGUACCUUCAAUUAGUGGGGAAGUUCUCAAGGGUAGCCCUCCUCUAAGUACCAUGAGUUCAUCGUCUUUAAAUUCAAAGGUUGUUCAUAUGGAGGUGAAUGGGUUUGAGGAAUCAACCAGAGAAAAAGCCCAAAAUAAUUUUACUGAGGGCUUAAGGAAUUUAGCAGAGGAUUCUUCUCUGAAUGAGGAGGUAGAUGGAUCGUUGAAAUCUGAUUUCACUGAUCCUUCCAGUAAAGCCUUAUCAGCAGAUACAUCAAGCAUGAAACAGGCUGAAAAGCUUGCUAUUGAGAAGAUUAUGUCUGGUCCAUAUGUUGCUCACCAGGCUAUUCCACAAGAAUUUGAUGAGCUUGAAGAUGAUCCUGAAUUAAAUAAUCAAGUCAAAGAUAUCGGUGUGAACACACAGGGCAGAUCUGUGGCUUCCUCUACAGUAAAUGCAAGCAUAGCAGCAACAGCAGCAUCUAUCAAUGGAGGUGGAACUUCCACUGCUUUAUGCGCUAAUGGGGGCUUGGAGGAGCUUGAGGAGGUGAUAAAUUGAAGGUUGGGGAAGAACAUGGGCAGCUUUUAGAUGCUGUGGACAGAGAAAGAAGACUUUACCCCUGCUGAACUUGCGGUGCCACUUGCAAACGAGAUCCAUCCUGCACCAGUGCCACAGCGAAAACCACUAAUCAGGUUGAGCUUCACCUCCUUGAACAAAGUGGCUGGGAAAAGCACGUGAAGGGAUAUGAAGUAGUAGCUUAAGCAAGGCUGGUCAUGGCGUUCUGUUCAAAUCUGUGUAUAAUAAGAGCUUAACAUGGAUUCUUCUUAUUCUACUUCUGUAAUAAUAAAUUUAUGUAGUUAACAUGUCUUCUAUCCUUUUUUA